GAUCCUGGCUCAGAUUGAACGCUGGCGGCAGGCCUAACACAUGCAAGUCGAACGGUAACAGGAAGAAGCUUGCUUCUUUGCUGACGAGUGGCGGACGGGUGAGUAAUGUCUGGGAAACUGCCUGAUGGAGGGGGGAUAACUACUGGAAACGGUAGCUAAUACCGCAUAACGUCGCAAGACCAAAGAGGGGGGACCUUCGGGCCGUCUUGCCAUCGGAUGUGCCCAGAUGGGAUUAGCUAGUAGGUGGGGUAACGGG
rnacentral:rRNA from 1 species